CAGCAGCCGCGGUAAUACGUAGGGUGCAAGCGUUAGUCGGAAUUACUGGGCGUAAAGCGUGCGCAGGCGGUUAUGCAAGACAGAGGUGAAAUCCCCGGGCUCAACCUGGGAACUGCCUUUGUGACUGCAUGGCUAGAGUACGGUAGAGGGGGAUGGAAUUCCGCGUGUAGCAGUGAAAUGCGUAGAUAUGCGGAGGAACACCGAUGGCGAAGGCAAUCCCCUGGACCUGUACUGACGCUCAUGCACGAAAGCGUGGGGAGCAAACAGGAUUAGAUACCCUGGUAGUCCACGCCCUAAACGAUGUCAACUGGUUGUUGGGAGGGUUUCUUCUCUAGUAACGUAGCUAACGCGUGAAGUUGACCGCCUGGGGAGUACGGCCGCAAGGUUGAAACUCAAAGAAAUUGACGG
rnacentral:rRNA from 1 species